UCCUUCAGGCUUCAUCUCUCCAUCUUCAAAAUGUGGACGGCAAUCACAGAUCCUACACGUCAUCGGCUUACGGAAAGAAUCAAAGCCCAAAAUUCAGGCAUUCGUUUCAAAAUAAGGCCUAUUCUAUGUGCUAGGUUCUUACCUACACACUGGGACUCACACGGAUGGGACGAGCCAAGCUCCCCACGCGAGAGCACUCACACAGAGGCUGGCACGCAGUAAGCGAUCACUUCUGUCCUUCCUUGCGCUUCUGACUCUCACCUAGCACACACAUGCCACUGCGUCACCAUGGGGCCCGCCCGGAUGCCUGCCUUGGCUUCCCCAACUGUACUCCAUACCUUCCACCCGCCGGCCCGUCGCCGCCCUCUGGGGCCAACUGGCAGACAUCUCUGCCCUCUGACCGGCUCGCCAGCAUGCAAAGACGUGUGAGUGUUUGGGGACAUCAUUCAGCACGUUCCACAAGCUAGGUCGUGCCAGGAGUGCUUCUCAGGUGUUCACGUAUUUCACUCCCAGAACCACCCACUGAGUACAAUUAACUACCGCUCCAUUUACGGUUUAAGGAAACUGAGACACAGAGCAGUUAAGUAAUCUGCCUGAGACCACUCAGCUUCGGUGUCUCCUGAGUCCUGACUCCUGGCUUCCUCUCUUUCCAGUUGGCUCUGGAAGACAUUUCUAAAUCCUGUAACCCAUUCCUCCUAAAAUCUCGCCACGUCUGAUGGUUAAUAGAGCCAAAUGCAAACACCCAGGUCUCUACUGCCUCUAAACCACAAAGUGGGUGUGCCAGCUAGUGGUGGUGGUUGGGGGCACAGCGUGUUUAACUCUACAAGGGGAAACAGAGCUUACGAGUCCGUAGAGGUGCUUGGGAAAACCCACCCCAGUAUGUAGCCUUUGCCUACAACAUAAGUCAAAGCUGCAGGAGCUCGAGGUGCUUAAAUGGCUGCAUUAGCUUUUUUCCGCCCGAAUUCAUCCAGCACUUAGUUAUAUGCCCAGGACACACAGACCCACUGCCUUGACUGGUCAUACUGGAGCACUUAUCGUGACCCUCUAUCCGGCUGUAAAUUUCUUCAAGUCGGGACCUGGAUCUUGGUGUCCAUUCUGCUUAGCACAAGGACUCCUGCCCAGUAGAUCGCUGAUAAAUGUCAGCUGGAGGAACCAGAAAGAGAAAGAACGAAUGAGCGAGAAUCUGGUGCGGGGCCAGAUUCCACCGCCACCAGGGCAGGGGCUCCAGUCCAUCCAGGAGGACCACAGAAAGCAGGAAGCCAAGCAUACGGACCACAGGGCUCUUCAAAGGGCCUGGAGGAGGUUCCUUCUUGCAGCAUCAUCGCAGUAUGUGUAAACAGGAAUUCAAGGACUCAAGAGACCGAACAGGACCCUCACGAGCUGACACUCGCUCUCUUGCCAUGUGGUGGGCACAGUGCCAAGGACUUUACAUGCAUGAUGUCCAUUAAUCCCCAUAACAUUCUUGCCUCCUUCUUCUGGUAAUAGAAGCCCUGCCCCCCCCCCCCCCAACGGCCAAAGUAAGUGCCUUGUUUUCCUCCAGCCAAGAGGUGGGGGCGUGUCUAAACGGACCUACUGGAUACUCUCUCCAGGAUUUGACCCUGAGAGAGGACACAAGGACUGGCCUUAUCAGACCUUGACGAGCUCGUCGCUGGGCCUUCCAACAAGACUUGAGCGGCCCUCAUCCCAUCUGAGACCCGGUGCUUCACACUUUCUUCUCUUAUCGACUCCACAUCCUUCCUGUAGAUCCCCUUUCCGAGGUCAGCAGGGUCUGUUCCUGCUGCCUGCGGCCAAGCCCACCCAAUGAGUGGGUGCUGGGAUCAUGAGUCUCUGUUUAGAGCAGGAAGCAGGCUGAAGGAGUCGGGGGACUUGCCCAGGCCACCUGGCUGCAAAGUGGCAGAGCAGGGACACAGAGCAGCUUGCCUGUGUCCAGAGCUGAUGGCUUAGCCAUUGGGCCACUGCCUCCUGCUGCUCGUAGGGCUGGAGAGAGCUGGCAUCUGUCACCCCACGGUUCCUUCUUUGGGGCACGUCAAGGUGGUGAGUUCAUCCAUGUGCUGAAAUGCGUUCUCAGGCCUCAGAGCGGACAUUCUGCCCGGGGGCUAUUUUCUCAGGACAGGACACGCCUCCCUAGGACUGAUCCCCGUUUCUGAUGCCAUUACCUAAGUACCGUGCCAAAAGGCAUCUAGCACUCGCUGAUGAAACGCAUCCCUCCGGAUCCGUCCUUCCCUGAACCUCUCUCCCAAGGGUCCGAGCACAGGAAAUGUUGUUUUACCACUCGUGACAUUUACUGCAGCAAUGUCUUGAAAAUAAAAAGGGAGAGAGACAGAGCAAGGGGGAAAUGCAUACAUUAAACUUUUGGGUCACCACCA